rnacentral:misc_RNA from 1 species
UGACAGGUGUUUCCAUGGCGAAGAGGGCGAGAAUUUGAAGCAGAUGGUUUUGCAUAAUGUCUCUAAUUAUCCCAUAAUGAUCAAAAUAACCUCCCCUUCCUUCAGUGCCAAAAUCUUCAGAAAAAAUAAACUGCACGUUCCUUAUAUACUGCCUCGACCAUAAGGGUUCAAAUAUCAAGUUGGAGAAACGAAGGACAGAAAGGUUUUCCACAAGCUCCUUCCCUAAAUAGUGAUCAAUCCUGAAAAUUUGAUCUUCUUUCAAGUACUGCUUAAGUGCUCCUGUUAAUGCAGCAGAGGAUUCAGAAUCCCGACCAAAGGGUUUUUCUACAAUGACUCUAGUCCAUCCAUGAGCAGAUGACGCAGAGAGGCUUGCACAUCGUACGGCAUUUAUAAAAAUAUUUGGUGGAAUGGACAAGUAGAACAGACGAUUGGAAAACCUUCCAGCCUCAUGUUCCUUCAGCUUUUUAUCAAGCUCUGCGAAGUUUUCCUGAGAGUCAUAUUGUCCACUAUGGUAGAAACACCUUUGUAGAAACUGUUCCAUCUUUUCACCACAAUUUUCCCUCUUAUCAAUCCUGCAAGUAAGUGUCUUGCUGACCAUGUUCCUGAGUUCGUCAUCAG